GGGAAUCCAAGACGUGGUGGGGGGAGCUGCCUGCCUGCCUGCCUGCCUGUACUCCACCACCGCUGCUCAGGUGCUCCAGCUGCUCCACAUCGCCAUUGAGAUGGGAUUCCGAGCUUUCAAAAGGGAGACCAAUUUGUUUUUCUUUUUUUUUUUACUUUAUUAAAAUUUUUUUCUAGCUGCUCUCUUCUCUUGUGCGUGGAGUGUGGACUUGUGGGAGCAGCCGCGCAAAAGGGUCUGAAUCGAGGGAAUUCCUUUUGAACGGGAAUUUUCCGAGGGAUUAUUUUUUUAUUUUAUUUGUGGCCGGGGAAUUUUGAGGGAUAAUUUU
rnacentral:lncRNA from 1 species